UCCUGCAGCCCCAUGAGACCCUCCUAAGGUUGCAACAACAGCCCGGACAUGACUGCCAGGACAAGCAAGCCAAGCCACAGAGUCAGAGCCUUUAGCGAGCACCCCUGCGACAGAUCAAACUAAUUAAUAGCUGCAAGCUGGUUACGACAUAGCACAAUGAGUUUCUAGAAAACUGUAUAUUGAAAUAUCAUUUCAUGAAAUAAUAGUAAAUCUCAUUUUUCUUUGAGAAGUAUAACUUCAAAGUAGCAAUUAGCGAAGAUAUCUAUAAUCAGUGGCUAACAUGAUCGCGUAUGAAUUACAUAGCUAAAUUGUGGGAAAAGGUGCGCAAGCUCUGACAUAAGGAUUUGUACUGCCAUACUGUACAAGACAAGAUGAAGAAUGGCAACUACCUUUCUCAUCAGUGAUUUAACGAAUCCACUCAACAUGUGCAUGGAGAUUAGAUGUAAAUAUGAGUGACAUACUUAUAGACUUGUGGUGCUUCUAAAGAAAAUUUUAUCGACUUUUAGAACUACAGAUACAGAAAGACGGAGAGGAAAACCAGGGAGGCAUAUCCAUAUCCAUGAAUGUGUAUCAUUUAUGUAACCAUGCAUGAGUGAUGGAAUUGAGGUCCAGUCAUGUGCAUAUCCUUGGGACUAAGGAGCUAGUAUUAAUGAUUAAGCAUCCCACAUUUAGUGAAACAGAAAGAUGUAACUCACAUGAAUCAACAGUUUGCUUGGCAAAAGUUUCUAAUAGUUCUUUUGUAACGAGUGGCGUGUACCUGCGAUCAUAUAAA